ACAAUUAAUAAAAAUAAUUUAUUAUAAUAAAUUUAUAGAUUUUCUUAAAAAUUCUACUUAAACUUAAAUUUAAUAAAAAGAAUUUAUUAUAAUAUUUAAAUAUAAUUUAUUAUAAAUUUUAUUAUAAUAUUUAAAUAUAAAUAAUAUGUAUUAAUAUAGUACAAUUAAUAAUUUUAUAAUAAAAAUAAUAUAUUAUAAUAUAUAACAUAUUAUAUUUAUAUAAUUUAGUUUUAAUUCAAUUUAUAAUUUUAAUUAAGUUUGAAAUUAAGCAUUGGAAUAGUGCUAUUCUACCAAAAUGGUGGAAUAGCAAAUCUCUUGCUAUUCCGGGAUAACCGGGAAUAGUAAAAUUUGACCGGAAUAAAAUAUUCCGGCCAAAUUUCAUCCUGUUUGAAAGAAUAGCGGGGAUAACUUUUGUUAUCCCCGGUUACCCCUCCAACCAAACGGGGCCUUAAUAAAAUUAGUGAUAU
rnacentral:lncRNA from 1 species